GACUCCCAUUCCUCUCUCUCUCUCUCUCCCGCUCUCACUCCCUCUCUCUCUCUCUCUCUCUCUCUCUCUCUCUCUCUCUCUCUCUCUGCCCUCUCUCUCUCUCACCAUCUUUCCUCUCACUCCUCUUCCCUAUGGCUGUGCAGCCGGGUCAGGACUGAGUGAGUGUGGACCGCGGCGCGCUGUAGGAUAACCCACGGAGGCAGGGCAGGAGGUGUGAAGCCGCAGGAGGAGAGGACAUCAGGUGUGUGUAGACAGUGGAGACAUCUGGCGAGCACGGUAGCAGCCUUCGGUUUCGACUCUGCGUGGAGAAGCAUCUUAGAGGCACAUGCGACGAGAUCUUUCGCCGUCUGCCGGUACGUCACGUCGCGUCACGUCAUCACACCCCCAGUAGUCAGCUCACAGCAGUCAGUGACUGAAUGGGGCUACUGUCACCUCCUCUUUAAAAUGAUGAAUGACACCUGAAUAUUUAAAACGAAUUUGACAAAUAUGGCAGAUAGAGUAAUGAGACACACACACGCAUACACAAACACGUAGGCAGCCACACACACACACACACACACACACACACACACACACACACACACACUAAUGUGCACUGGGCCCACACAAACACAGAGAGGGGGGGGGGGAAACAAACUGAAAAACUCUACAACUUCCUACUGCAGAUGAUGUUUAUACUUGAAAGAACAGAUUAAGAGGCCCUUCUGAGGCACAAAGGAGUGAAUGUAACACAGGCCUUGAACGCACUCACUCACUUAUUCACUCACUCACUCACUCACUCACUCACUCCAGCAAAGACAGAGUGGGGGAGCAGCUGUCGGCCUUGGUGUGUGCGUGAGUGUAUAUCUUUGUGG
rnacentral:lncRNA from 1 species